CAGUAUCCUUUUUCGGUUUGAGAACGUUGGGACUUGGGUUAGAGACCACAAUCACACUGAGCAGUAACAAACAUGGAAAGAAGCUCGGAUUAUGGAGCUUUCAUGGAGAAAUUCGUGCUCAAACCGAGUUCUUCAUCUCAUGAACUUCCCUUAAAUGGUCUUACCUUUGCGGUUAAAGAUAUGUCAGUCUCUUCAAUUCAAUUAUUUUUCUUGGUUUCUUUUUCGUUUCCUUCAAUAUUCGUCUCUUAUUUUAUAGUGAAUUCAUGAAUAUUUUCAAUUACGAUGCUCGUUUUCAUGCUUGUUUUGGGCUCAUCUUCCAGCUCUUGAUGAUACUGGGUUUGGUUCGAAUUGGAAUUGGAAUAAAAAUUUUGCUUUCCUUUUUAUUUAUUUAUUUUUUCAAUCUGCAUCUUAUUGUGUUUUAAUGUUUAGUUUACCUUUGUGGGUUGAACUUUUGGAUUAGUUUCGAUGUGAAUGGAUUUGUGACUGGGUUUGGCAAUCCGGACUGGGCAAGGACCCAUUCAGCUGCUACAUCUACUGCUCCGGCUGUUUUGGCUAUCUUGAGAGGAGGAGCCACAUGUGUUGGUAAAACUGUCAUGGAUGAAAUGGCAUAUAGUCUAGAUGGGGAAAAUAAACAUUAUGGCACACCUACAAAUCCUUGUGCUCCAGAUCGUGUACCUGGAGGAUCUUCCAGUGGGUCUGCUGUUGCAGUAGGUGCAAAGCUUGUAGACUUCUCCUUAGGAACUGACACUGGAGGAAGUGUAAGAGUUCCAGCAUCAUAUUGCAGCAUUUUGGGGUUUCGACCUUCACAUGAUGCUGUUUCUACUGCUGGAGUUAUUCCCAUGGCACAGAGUUUUGAUACUGUGGGAUGGUUUGCUAGGGAUCCAGUGAUUUUGAAUCGAGUUGGUCGCAUUCUACUUCAAUUGCCUGAUGUGGAUCUGGUUAGACCAAGGCAGAUAUUUAUUGCAGAAGACUGUUUUCAGCUUUCAAGCAUUCCGAAUAAUCGAGUUAGUCAAGUUCUUGUUAAAUCAGUGGAGAAGUUAUUUGGGGGUGAUGUUGUGAAGCAUUUAAUCCUUGGGGACUAUGUUGAGAACAAAGUUCCAAGUUUGAGUCAUUUUAUUAGUAAAGAAAUCAAAAAGCAAGACUAUGGUAUAGCAUCCUUGGCAGCCCUCUCAAGUGCCAUGCGUUUGCUUCAAAGGUAUGAAUUCAAGAAAAACCAUGGUGAAUGGGUUACUACUGUCAAACCUGAUUUGGGUCCAGGAAUAUCAGAACGAGUGUGGGGAGCUAUUCAAACAACGGGAGAAAGCAUUGAUAUUUGUUACUCUGUGAAGGCGGAAAUAAUUGCCACCCUUACAACUCUUCUUGAGGAUUUUGGUAUCCUGGCUAUCCCUACAGUACCAGGACGUCCACCAAAACUAAACACAGAUCCAACUACUCUGGAAAUUUUUCGUGCCGAGGCUUCUAGCUUGCUCUCCAUUGCUGGAUUAUCAGGAUUCUGCCAGGUGAGCAUACCGCUAGGCAUGUACAAUGAUGUACCUGUAGCUAUUUCAUUAUUGGCGAAACAUGGUUCAGAUGGCUUCCUGCUCAAUGUUGUUGAAACUCUUUAUGACACUCUCCAAGAACAGAUUGCAAUUUCAGAAUGAUAGCUUGCUGAAUCCAGAGGUCCUCCUCAUCUUGCCUCAAAAAAAUGGUCAGAGAUUCAAUCUCAGUUAACUCUUUCAUGCCACUUAACAUUUUCUGUUCAACAAAAACUACUGAUGUGUAAUUUCAACUUACCAUACUUUCUCUUAUUGCGUUAAUUGACUAAACAAUGCAGAACCAUACUCUCUCUCUCUCUCUCUCUC
rnacentral:misc_RNA from 1 species